GGCUGAAUAGCUCAGUGGUAAAAAGCAGUCGCACGGUAGCGAAAGACUCGGGUUCGAUUCCCGAUUCAGCGA
rnacentral:tRNA from 1 species